CGUGGCGCCCCGACAGGUGUCUCUGAGGGUGACGUUCUGAGCGCGCGGGCAACGCCCGGCUGGUUGUGUGGGCCGAAGGGCGGGUCGGGGAGCCAGCCGGCUUGCACACGUGCGAGCACCCAGCACAGGACCUCACACCAGCAGGGGCUCAGCAAAGAGCUGCCGCCUGUUCUGUAGGUCCAGCGAGGAGCUCCCGAGGGUGACUCACCUUCCUGGCAACAAGCUGGAUGGCAUCAUCCUCGAAGGCCUUCAGGUGCUUGAGGCGGGACAUGAGGAUCUGCUGCAGCUGCCUGUACGUGUAGGGCUGGAAGGACAUCCUGGUGAAACCCUGGGAGCCAAGAACCACUGAGAAGUAGACGGAAGUAGAGGCGCUCUGACGAGUGGACGGAGGACCCUCAGCUUUGUGAUGUGCACAGGCUCCGUUCCGGCUCACACGCCAUGCUGCUUCUAAGCGCCUGUGGUUCAGGCUGAACCAGGGGUCCCAAGGGCACACACUGCAUCCACCUUGCUCACUGCUACGCUCUAGCCAUCUCACACUGCCUGGCAAGGGACUCCUCAGCACAGCUUCCGGGUCUGUAAGAACAACCGGAGCACGGCCCCAGGACCUACCAGUCGGCUUGCCACCCGGUUCAUCAUGAUGCGCUCUGGCAGGUCCAUGGUGUUGGCGAUGGCCAGGACCACAAGCCGGGCCUCCUUGUGAGUGGGCCAGUCAAAGAGGUUGUACAUUACGUCUUGUUUCUGAGUCCACAGAAGGUCGAGCUGCCAGGGAAACGGGGAGAGAUGCAGGGCCAGCCACAGAGACCGCGCCAGGGCCCAGAGUGAGGACCUGUCACCGCUGUUUCAGCUCCCUGUGCUCCUCGGGCCACACCGGCAGAGCAGCGAGGAGGUGAGGGGACACGUGCCACUUGCCACGAGACAACAGGCUCAGACGAAGGAAGGAGCCAAACUUCCCUCCUGCCCAGUACUUGCUCCCAAAACAUCUGUCACAGCCACGUGGCUUCUUUUCCAGUCCUCCCCGUGGGCCCCUCCUCACCUCAUCCACUAGCAGCACGGUGGUUUCCUGGGAGGACCCGGGGGUGCGAAAUCGCUUGGCCAGCAGUUCGGCUGCAUGGUUGGCUGUUGCCUUUUGGCCAGUCAUCUUCUGCAUUGGGGGGAAAAGGUAUGGUAAAUGCUAAGGACAUACUCCCUUGGGCUUAAAGUUAAAUCUGCAAACAGAGGAAGCUAUUUAGCCUGAGGGUUUCAGGAUCCUAUACUCUGCCUUCUACUCUACACACAGAAGGCACCAAAACAGAAGCUAAAGAACGUCUGUGUGACUGAAAUGCAAACGAACCUCAGAGGAGUCCCAGAAGCCCCUCCAUAACCACUGCUUCCUGACUCUAUAACUGGACGUUAUUUGUUACAAGAGAACAGCCAAUGAACCAAGAGUGAGUUACAAACUCGCACCUACCUCUAACCCCUUCUAGUCUGCCACACUGCCUCCUGUGCACACACGGUUCUCACCAUGAUAGUAAAUACCAGUUUCCAACAGUUCAUAACGAGCUCCCAGACUUUAAGGUCCCUGUGGGCAGGCAUUCUGCCUUUGCUCUUGCUCUCUCUACUCAAAGGGCAAUGCCUGGCAUGUUGAAAAUAUGUAAUAUACACAAAAUUAAGUAAACCUUUUUCUUUUCAUGUGCCAAGAAACUGCAUUUUCCAAAAAGCCCAAACCUGCUUUGCUUACCUGCAAGAUUUGCACGUAGACUUGGUGGGGCUCUGUCAGCUUCAUGCCGUUGACUUCGAUGUACUGGAAGGGAGGGACGUCAUUGGCGUGGGCCGCCUGCCGCAGGCAGUGCAUCACUUCGUGGACAGUGGCGGUCUUCCCGGUCCCGGGUACCCCGGAGAUGUACAUGCACCUGGCAGGAAGGGAAGGCGCGAGGGGGAGGUGUGUGCCAGCUGCCUCGCCAGUCAGGAGUGAGCAAACGUGUGCGGAAGGAAGGACCGAGAGCCCUGGGGGUGGGGGUGGGGGCAGGGAGGAGCACCCUUGGAGGCUGAUUAGAGUAGGGCCUGUUUCCAUACAAUCAUUCAUUCUGCAAGCAAUGCCAGUGUCACCUUUCUUGGAAAAACAGAAUUCCCAUUCCUACAGGAUAAUUUUGACAACAAAAAGCUACUUCAGGAGCGUUAGGCUUUCGCCUGUUGUCCUGACACUGGGGAAAGACCAUCUGGUUGACCUCUGACACCGGAGCGGUGUACCAGCAUCCCGCCUUCUUCCCGACCAUCCCACCUGGCUCAGCGUGACUCACCCUCCGGUGCGAUCCAGGAGUUUGCUUUCCACAAAGUUGUAGAUGUCUUGGAAUUCCUUUUCCCGACAGGGGAGAGAGUCGGGUACAGCAGACACAUGCAGACUAAGUAAAGGGAAAAGGAAGAUUUUAGAAGUAUUUCACCAUCCACUCAAUAAUGGAAAGACUUAUCUAUAGUUUCUAUAUAAAACCUUACAAACCCAAGGAAAUGUCUUCAUUCUCAAAUCGCUUCAUGUAGUUGUAUAAUCCCCUUCUCCCCGAAAAUCACCCACUCCGUGGUGCUAACCAAAGGGUACCCAAAUCGCACUGCUGAACCUCAUCCCGCAAGAGACUCUGAUUUGGUUGAUUUCUGGAAGGAUGUCGGCUUCUCUGUUUUUUAAAAGUCCCAACACAGUUCUAAAGAGUCCGGCCCCUGAGAAGUAGUGUCCUGACUAAUCACCUCCCUCCCUGAGAGGAGGAUGGCAGUAGACUGGAAGGCUACUCCUAGCACCUGUCUGCAUUAGCUGAGCCACACACUACUUGAGAGGUUUCCUCUCUCGGAACACACACGCUCAUUUUACUGUAUUAUCACCCCUGCUUCGUGGGAAUGAGAGCAGAGGCCCGCCUUUCUCUCUGAAAGGGGCCCACGAGCAGGGUUACCUCAGCCGGGCCUCCUCGAGCACGCUGGCAGGCCCCCGCGCAGCCAGGUUCCGGCUGCGGAUCUGGGGAGUGGCAGAAUGUGGCGUUCUAGGCUUGGGCUGUAUUCAGAAAAAGAACAUAUUUCAGAAAAACACCACACACACACACACACACACACAAACAACAAAGCAAAAACA